rnacentral:rRNA from 1 species
CCCUUAGAUGUUCUGGGCCGCACGCGCGCUACACUGACGAAGUCAGCGAGCAUCUCCUUCGCCGAAAGGUGCGGGGAAUCUUGUGAAACUUUGUCGUGCUGGGGAUUGAUUUUUGAAAUUCUUGAUCAUCAACGAGGAAUUCCUAGUAAGCGCAAGUCAGCAGCUUGCGUUGAAUACGUCCCUGCCCUUUGUACACACCGCCCGUCGCUCCUACCGAUUGAGUGGUCCGGUGAGGCUUUGGGAUCUGAGCGGAAAGAGCGUUUCGCUGUUUCUGCUCGGAAAACUCAGUCGAACCUUAUCAUUUAGAGGAAGGAGAAGUCGUAACA